GGGGAGUGGAAUCUGAAUCUAAUAUAACAGAAGCAUGGAUCACUAAUUCUGAAACUUUCGGAAAUCCUCAAAGGCUGGGGCAGGAACUUAAGGAGGAUGCAGUGUGAAAAGAAAAUCAUUUUUGGAAUAAUGGAAACUAUUGACAUACUGGAAGAAUCUGGGAAUCUCUCAUUGGAACAAGGGAAUUAAAAUCUUCUCCUAAAAAUUAGUUAUGGAGGAACCAUAUUGGCAAC
rnacentral:lncRNA from 1 species